rnacentral:tRNA from 1 species
GGAGAGGUGGCAGAGCGGUUGAAUGCACCGGUCUUGAAAACCGGCGUGUCUGAAAGGGCACCGUGGGUUCGAAUCCCACCCUCUCCG